GACGAACGCUGGCGGCGUGCUUAACACAUGCAAGUCGAACGGAAAGGCCUGCUUUCCCUUGUGGAUUGCGGGUACUCGAGUGGCGAACGGGUGAGUAACACGCGAGUGAUUUGCCCCCAACUUGGGUAUAAGCCUGGGAAACUGGGUCUAAUUCCCGAUAGGACUGCAGGGUGGUGCCUGUGGUGGAAAACGAUUUUCUAGUGGUUGGGGAUGAGCUCGCGGCCUAUCAGCUUGUUGGUGGGGUAAUGGCCUACCAAGGCGGCGACGGGUAGCCGGCCUGGGGGGCGGGACGGCCGCAUUGGGGCUGAGGUCCGGCCCAGAAUACUACGGGAGGCAGGAGUGGGGACUAUAGCGCACUAGGCGGAAGCCUGGUGCAGCGACGCCGCGUGGGAGGUGACGGCCUUCGGGUUGUAAACUCCUUUCGAACGCGAGGAAGCCACCUGGUUGGAAGGGUGGUGACGGUAGUGGUAGAAGAAGCACCGGCUAACUACGUG
rnacentral:rRNA from 1 species